rnacentral:tRNA from 1 species
CGCAGGGUGGAGCAGCGGCAGCUCGUCGGGCCUGAUAACCCGAAGGUCGGCGGUUCAAGUCCGCCCUCUGCUA